rnacentral:rRNA from 1 species
CGGUUUCAGAUAGCCAUGCACGUCUAAGUACAAACUAAAUGAUGGUGAAACUGCAAAUGGCUCAUUACAACGGUUAUGAUGUACCCGGGAGUUCCGAUGGAUAUUUCCAGUAACACUAGAACUAAUACAUGUCCCUGCGUUUAUUAGUUUCGCACAGUCCGUCGCUGAGUCAUGGUAAACAGUUGAUCGACUCGACGUCCCGGAACAGUUUCCGCCCCAUCAGCUUCGAUGGUUGGGUAUUGGCCUACCAUUGCAACAACGGGUAACGAGGAAUUAGGGUUUGAUUUCGGAGAGGGAGCCUGAGAAACGGCUACCACAUCUACGGAUGGCAGCAGGCGCACAAAUUACCCAAUGCAGACACUGUGAGGUAGUGACGAGAAAUAAUAAAGCGGGACUUCUGUUUCGCUAUUAUAAUGAGGAAUAACCAAAGGUCAUUCCGAUUAGCAACUGAUGGGAAAGUCUGGUGCCAGCAGCCGCGGUAAUACCAGCGUCAGUAGCAU